rnacentral:rRNA from 1 species
AAUAUCAAAGGUGAGCCAGUACAGGAUGGACCCGCGUCUGAUUAGUUAGUUGGUAAGGUAACGGCUUACCAAGGCGACGAUCAGUAGCCGACCUGAGAGGGUGAUCGGCCACAUUGGAACUGAGACACGGUCCAAACUCCUACGGGAGGCAGCCGUGGGGAAUAUUGCACAAUGGGCGAAAGCCUGAUGCAGCAACGCCGCGUGAGUGAUGAAGGCCUUCGGGUCGGAAAACUCUGUCCUCAAGGAAGAUAAUGACGGUACUUGAGGAGGAAGCCCCGGCUAACUACGUGCCAGCAGCCGCGGUAAUACGUAGGGGGCUAGCGUUAUCCGGAUUUACUGGGCGUAAAGGGUGCGUAGGCGGUCUUUCAAGUCAGGAGUGAAAGGCUACGGCUCAACCGUAGUAAGCUCUUGAAACUGGGAGACUUGAGUGCAGGAGAGGAGAGUGGAAUUCCUAGUGUAGCGGUGAAAUGCGUAGAUAUUAGGAGGAACACCAGUUGCGAAGGCGGCUCUCUGGACUGU